AGAGUUUGAUCCUGGCUCAGAUUGAACGCAGGCGGAAUGCUUUACACAUGCAAGUCGAACGGCAGCACGGGAGCUUGCUCCUGGUGGCGAGUGGCGAACGGGUGAGUAAUGCGUCGGAACGUACCGAGUAAUGGGGGAUAACGCAGCGAAAGCUGUGCUAAUACCGCAUACGCCCUGAGGGGGAAAGUGGGGGAUCGCAAGACCUCACGUUAUUCGAGCGGCCGACGUCUGAUUAGCUAGUUGGUGGGGUAAUGGCCUACCAAGGCGACGAUCAGUAGCGGGUCUGAGAGGAUGAUCCGCCACACUGGGACUGAGACACGGCCCAGACUCCUACGGGAGGCAGCAGUGGGGAAUUUUGGACAAUGGGGGCAACCCUGAUCCAGCCAUUCCGCGUGAGUGAAGAAGG
rnacentral:rRNA from 1 species